UUGGCUUCUCAGUGCUGUUACAUGUGAACAUAUGUUUACAACAUACAGUUGCUAGGCAACACUGAAGGAGCCAGUUGCAUUUUCAUUACUCCUGCUUUCUUCAGACAACAAAUUCAACUUUUCACACCAAAAGCCUUUUUAAAGGCUAACUUAUUUUACUGUUUUAGAACUGUUAUUAGUUAGUUUCUGUUUAGACUUGAUAACUCUUAAUUUAUUUUGUAGUUUCUUAAUUUUAUUUUAUGGUUGAGAGAUUAUUUUAGCAUAAUUUAGCGUAGCAAAACUUAGCUUAGUAUAAUUUAGGUUAGCAUAAUUUAUAAACUGCACAGUUUUUUUUUUAGGACACAGAGAGAGAUUUUUCCAGGUGAAGGAUGGGCCGCCCUCGGAAAAAGACCAAGGAGCCACCAGUCACCAGAAGGCCACCGCGCAGGAUCCUGCCAAAAAUACCAGAUCACAUGCUUCACACUGGUAUACUGUGGGCAUGUGUGAGGGACCCUAACUCCCCUCCAGCUCUGCUGUGGAGCAUUCCCUGUAUGCAGCAGCUGCAGGCUACUCCACAGCCACCCCACCAGGAAGCAAGUCAGGAGGUUGUUUUUCCGGAAGAUGUGGUGGACGAGCUGAGCUUUGUUCCUGGAAUCUGGGACCUGGCUGUGGAGAUGGGCUUCCUGCCUCCAUGGAGCAGGCCGCAGGUACAGGAUGGUCCUUCCACACCUCUGCCCAGUGUCACCAGCGCUCACCAGCCCUCCACCAGCACAUCAUCCAUGGAGUUUGAGAGCAACGAGGACCACUGGAUUCUUCAGCACCAGAUGGAGGAGGAAAUGAUGACCAGCGACCCAGCAGCAGACAGUCCACAGGGACCCCAACAAGAAGCCAGUCUGGAGGACUUUUUGGAGGAGCUGAACAACAUUCCUGUCAUCUGGGACAUGGAUUUCGAGAUGUGCCUCCUCCCUCCACCUUACUAGUACCACUAUUAGUAGCACUAGCAGCACCAAUAGUGAUCACUAGUACAGGUAAGCAUGAAGGUAAGUAUGAAGGUAAGUAUUUAGUGACGGGCGGCACGGUGACAUUGUGGUUAGCACCUUGUCUCACAGCAAGGAGAUCUGAGUUUUGGUCCCUUCUGUGUGGAGAUUUGCAAAUUUGCAUGUAUCUCCCCGUGUCAGCGUGGGUUUUCUCCGGGUUCUCCGGUUUCCCCCACAAAACAACUAGGC
rnacentral:lncRNA from 1 species